rnacentral:lncRNA from 1 species
AGUGGACAGAGGCAAAGAAUGCUGCUAAACAUCCCACAGUACUUGGGACAGCCUCCCGCAGCAAAAACUUAUCCAGCCCCAAAUGUUAAUAGUGCUGAGGUUGAGAAAUUCUGGUGUCAGAGAUCAGAGAGGAACAAAGGCUUAUAAAGACUCCUCCCCUCCAAUAGCUCUUGGUCCAGGGGGGCCAUGAUAACAAGGCAUGUGGAAUGCUGUGUGCGAGACAGGGAGAGCACUAUACGGACAAAGCCAAGAGACCCCGAACAGAAGAGGCUCCUGGUGCAGCUAGUGGCUGAGCUGGUGCUUCAAGGACACAUAUGGUCUUCGGGCAAAUUCUACACCUGUCUGCAUGGAGUCUGCAGACCUCUGUUUGGAAGGAGGAACCAGAGGAAACUACUGGAGAAAUACCAUGGCUGGGUUUGGUGUUUCAGGAUUAUCUUCCUGGCUUCUGUGUGCAGUGUAUUCAGAAGAUGAAAAACAUUACUGGUUACACAGUGCCAAGGCUAAAGGCUGAGUGCAGCGCUGAAGGAAAGUGGUGCCAGAGGCCAGUCGAGGGGACCCGUGGCCUGGGACAGCGAGAAGUGGACCACGUGAGAGGGAUGGAUGACAGGGUUGGAGAGCUGGAGAAAACAGGGAAAGACUUCAGGUAAGGG